UACGAAGGGGGCGAGCGUUGUUCGGAUUUACUGGGCGUAAAGGGCGCGUAGGCGGCCUUCUAAGUCGGACGUGAAAUCCCUCGGCUUAACCGAGGAACUGCGUCCGAUACUGAAAGGCUUGAAUCCGGGAGAGGGAAGUGGAAUUCCCGGUGUAGCGGUGAAAUGCGUAGAUAUCGAGAGGAACACCUGCGGCGAAGGCGGGUAGCUGGGCCGACACGUGACGCUGAGGCGCGAAAGCCAGGGGAGCGAACGGG
rnacentral:rRNA from 1 species